rnacentral:rRNA from 1 species
UACAGAGGGGGCAAGCGUUAUUCGGAAUUAUUGGGCGUAAAGGGCGCGUAGGCGGCUUUGCAAGUGACGGGUGAAAGCCCUCGGCUUAACCGAGGAACUGCCUGUCAGACUGUAAGGCUUGAGACCGGGAGAGGUGAGUGGAAUUCCCAGUGUAGCGGUGAAAUGCGUAGAUAUUGGGAGGAACACCGGUGGCGAAGGCGGCUAUCUGGACCGGUACUGACGCUGAUACGCGAAAGCCAGGGGAGCAAACGGG